GGCGCGCGGAGCUCUUUCGGGAGCGCCGAUGUCGUCGGAAAGAUGACCAAACUUGAAUAUUUAGAGGAAGUAAAAGUCGUAACAAGGUUGCUGUAGGUGAACCUGCAGCAGGAUCAUUA
rnacentral:rRNA from 1 species